GUCUGAUGGGCGGUGUUGGCUGGGGGGGUGGUGAAUGCCUCAUGAAUGGCUUGGGGCCCUCCCCUUGGAAAUGAGUCCUUGCUCUAUUAGUUCACACUGGAGCUGGCCAUUUAAAGGGUCUGGCCUCCCUCUUCUCUUUCUCUUCCUCCCUCUUUGCCCAUGUGACAGGCCUGCUUCCCAUUUGCCUCCCUUCAUGAUUGGAAGCUCUCUGAGGGCCUCACCUGAAGCACAUGCUGGUGCUUGCUUCUUGUACAGCCUGCAGAACUAGAUAUGUGAAUGGACUUGGGAAAAUGUAAAACACCGCCCUCCUUGCACAGACAAGGCAAGCGUGGUUAGCAAGCUCGGAAACCUCUGCUCCUCUGAGUACAGCCGUGGCUUAGGGCUCCAUUCCACUCUGCCUUUCUGUCACCUGAGUCCACUGAGGAAGUCACCUGAGACCGCCUGAGACCGCCUGGCCAUGUUCCACCUUUCUGGAACUGGAAUAUUCUUCCACAUAAGCUCAUAUUCAAGGGCAUCUCCAUGUCAGCCGACACAGACACAAAAGAAGAUCCAUCCUUACAGAAAUCAAAGUAAUUAUGACUGGCUGCUUCUGCAUUGCAGUGCCUUAGAUCAACAUUUUGCUGUGUUCAUUACUGACAAGUACAGACCUUAAACUAUGAGAAUUCAAAUUGUGGGAUAGACCCAGAAAAAGCUUCCUUCCUAAUAGCAUUGCUGUUACAUGCAACACCAAAUGCAGAAUUCUAAAAAAGAAGCUAUAAACACAGGAUGUACAUGCACAAUAUUGACACUCCUCUUUGCUUUGUAUGACAGUGUCUUUUGUUACUGCAUUAAAGCAACGGUGAGACAGUUUU